rnacentral:rRNA from 1 species
ACGGGUGAGUAACACGUGGUCAACCUACCCUUUUGUGGGGGAUAACUAGCCGAAAGGUUAGCUAAUACCGCAUACGCUCUACGAGUGGCAUCACUUAUAGAGGAAAGGAGCAAUCCGCUUAAGGACGGGACUGCGUCCCAUUAGCUAGUUGGUGGGGUAAUGGCCUACCAAGACUCCGAUGGGUAGCUGGUUUGAGAGAGCGACCAGCCACACUGGGACUGAGACACGGCCCAG